rnacentral:rRNA from 1 species
GCAAGUCGAGCGGAAACGAUUAAAAGCUUGCUUUUCAGGCGUCGAGCGGCGGACGGGAGAUAAAUGCUUGGGAAUCUGCCUUAUGGUGGGGGACAACAUUUGGAAACGACUGCUAAUCCCGCAUAAUGUCUACGGACCAAAGGGGGGGAUCUUCGGACCUCCUGCCAUUUGAUUAGCCCAAGUGAGAUUAGCUAGUUGGUGAGGUAAUGGCUCACCAAGGCGACGAUCUCUAGCUGGUUUGAGAGGAUGAUC